AAGGAGGAGGAGCCUGGCAGCACUUGGCACCAUUUGUCUUCCCUCCAACAGCUCCUGCUGCAGAGAUCACAUUAACCUCUGCACUGCCAGCUCCAGACUGCCCAGAUCAGCUCCUUUAGCUUUGGCCUGGCUGGAAUUUGGAAGCAAAAAGGGCCAUCAGUAACUGGAAGAGCGAGGCAGCAGCACAGGAAGGACUGCAGGGAAAGGGAUGAAGGGAGACCUCACUUUGAACCAGAGAAUAUGUUCAGAAAGCCAAGAGAUUGACAAAUGAAGAUUUAAAUCCCUGAAAAAAUAAGGAAAAAAAGCACAUCAAUGGAUCCAUGUGCUGGAUGUGAUAACAGCUGGUCUGUCUUUGGAUGGCAGAGGAAGAUAAGACACAUGAGAGUGCUUUAAUUAGGAGACAAAAAUAGCAAGGCCUCUGAACCCCUUUAAUGUUCUUUAAUUUUCUGGUGAUUUCAUCAACUGAAUUUGGUCAAGCUGAUCACAUUAUUCAGUUGUUACUCAUAGCCAGGAAAUGAUACAGGCUGCAGACAAAUUGGACUGCAGAGAGAAAAAAAGAAUUAAAAAAAAAAUCAAUAUUCUUGGAUGCUGCACUAAUGGAUGUGGGCUCAGAAACCUGAGCUGCUGGAGAAGAGCACGGACUGGAUGUGAAACAAAGACCUGGAACACAGAGAUGCAAAUCCAAGGAAUUAUUAAAACAGGUUCCUGCACCCAAGAUAGCUCCCACUCUACCAAAUUCAGCAUCCUAAAAGGAAAUUUGAGCAAGAGAAACAACAGGCAAUGCCACAAGAACAAUUCCUACCCAAAACAAAAUCAAUGUGCUCAGCAGCACCUGGAAAAAGAGAACUGGAAGUUUCCUGCUUUUUGAACCUCCUGAAUAUUUCCCCAGAAUCAAUUAAAGGAAAAAGUGUUUCAAACUGGGCAUCUUCAUUGUCAUCCUCCUAAAGAGAAAUUUUUUUAAACCAGUAUCAUUUCAAUGAAGGCUUUGACAAAGAUUAAUCUCAUUCUACUCCAGAUCAAAAUUAACAACAACAAAGCCAGGACAAUGGAUUUCAAUUUCUUCUUCCAAUUAGAGAACCAUCCCCAAAGGCCAAAAACAUUUCCUACCUUUGUGAUUUCCUGAAAAAGGCCUCAAACCUCCACUGGUACAAGGUGAAGGAGCAAACAAAUGUCUUAUGAAGGAGCAAACAAAUGUCUUAUGAAGGAGCAAACAAAUGUCUUAUGUCACAGAGGGAAUAUUUCAA